GCAAGUCGAACGAUGAAGCCCUUCGGGGUGGAUUAGUGGCGAACGGGUGAGUAACACGUGGGCAAUCUGCCCUUCACUCUGGGACAAGCCCUGGAAACGGGGUCUAAUACCGGAUAACACUCUGUCCCGCAUGGGACGGGGUUAAAAGCUCCGGCGGUGAAGGAUGAGCCCGCGGCCUAUCAGCUUGUUGGUGGGGUAAUGGCCUACCAAGGCGACGACGGGUAGCCGGCCUGAGAGGGCGACCGGCCACACUGGGACUGAGACACGGCCCAGACUCCUACGGGAGGCAGCAGUGGGGAAUAUUGCACAAUGGGCGAAAGCCUGAUGCAGCGACGCCGCGUGAGGGAUGACGGCCUUCGGGUUGUAAACCUCUUUCAGCAGGGAAGAAGCGAAAGUGACGGUACCUGCAGAAGAAGCGCCGGCUAACUACGUGCCAGCAGCCGCGGUAAUACGUAGGGCGCAAGCGUUGUCCGGAAUUAUUGGGCGUAAAGAGCUCGUAGGCGGCUUGUCACGUCGGAUGUGAAAGCCCGGGGCUUAACCCCGGGUCUGCAUUCGAUACGGGCUAGCUAGAGUGUGGUAGGGGAGAUCGGAAUUCCUGGUGUAGCGGUGAAAUGCGCAGAUAUCANGAGGAACACCGGUGGCGAAGGCGGAUCUCUGGGCCAUUACUGACGCUGAGGAGCGAAAGCGUGGGGAGCGAACAGGAUUAGAUACCCUGGUAGUCCACGCCGUAAACGUUGGG
rnacentral:rRNA from 1 species